GUGGGGAAUCUUCCGCAAUGGACGAAAGUCUGACGGAGCAACGCCGCGUGAGUGAUGAAGGUCUUCGGAUUGUAAAGCUCUGUUAAUCGGGACGAAAGAGCCUAGUGUGAAUAAUGCUAGGAAGUGACGGUACCGGAAUAGAAAGCCACGGCUAACUACGUGCCAGCAGCCGCGGUAAUACGUAGGUGGCAAGCGUUGUCCGGAAUUAUUGGGCGUAAAGCGCGCGCAGGCGGAUCUGCCAGUCUGUCUUAAAAGUUCGGGGCUUAACCCCGUGAUGGGAUGGAAACUACAGAUCUAGAGUAUCGGAGAGGAAAGUGGAAUUCCUAGUGUAGCGGUGAAAUGCGUAGAUAUUAGGAAGAACACCAGUGGCGAAGGCGACUUUCUGGACGAUGUCUGACGCUGAGGCGCGAAAGCUAGGGGAGCGAACGGGAUUAGAAACCCUUGUAGUCC
rnacentral:rRNA from 1 species